UAACAAGGUUUCUGUAGGUGAACCUGCAGAAGGAUCAUUAGUGAAAGUUUCGGGCCUGCCAUACGGACGCAAACACGUCUCUGGCGCCCAUCACUAUAUCCAUACCAACCCCUGUGCACUGUGAUGACGAAUGUCAUCGAACAAAAAAAACUCGUAUGGUUGAAUGUACGUGAAAUUGUAGGUAUAGCCUACGAACUAUACACAACUUUCGACAACGGAUCUCUUGGUUCUCCCAUCGAUGAAGAACGCAGCGAAACGCGAUAGGUAAUGUGAAUUGCAGAAUUCCGUGAAUCAUCGAAUCUUUGAACGCACCUUGCGCUCCAUGGUAUUCCGUGGAGCAUGCCUGUUUGAGUGCCGCGAAUUCUCCCUCCCCUUACGGUGGCCGAAAGGCCGAAGUAGGGCGGACGGGGUAGGAUGGGUGUUGCUGCCUGGGGAUUGUACCAGGCUCGCCCGAAAUGCAUAAGCGCCAGGACCCUCGCUACCGCUCUCUAGGGAAGAGUGGCUAAGCGACCGCUGAGCAUGGCAUGAUACGUCAUUUGCUGUGUGUGGGCGGCCGGUUGGAGAGGUGUCUGCUUUACCAGCCCUUUUUUAAUUCUGGUCUCAAAUCAGGUAGGAUCACCCGCUGAACCUAAG
rnacentral:misc_RNA from 1 species